rnacentral:rRNA from 1 species
UACGUAGGGUGCAAGCGUUGUCCGGAAUUAUUGGGCGUAAAGAGCUUGUAGGCGGUUUGUCGCGUCUGCUGUGAAAAUCCGGGGCUCAACCCCGGACUUGCAGUGGGUACGGGGCAGACUAGAGUGUGGUAGGGGAGACUGGAAUUCCUGGUGUAGCGGUGAAAUGCGCAGAUAUCAGGAGGAACACCGAUGGCGAAGGCAGGUCUCUGGGCCACUACUGACGCUGAGAAGCGAAAGCAUGGGGGAGCGAACAGG